rnacentral:lncRNA from 1 species
GUUUUGGGAGACAGUUUUUCUGUGUUGCCCUGGCUGUCCUGGAACUCAGUCUGUAGACCAGGCUGGCCUGGAAUUCAGUGAUAUACCUGUCUCUGCCUCCUGAGCCCUGGGUUAAAGGCAUGUGCCACCAUGUUAGGCUUCCCCUACCACUGGGUCUCAUGUAACUCAAUAUACAGCCAAUAUGACCUUAAACUGUUCCUACUCCCACUCCCCUAUGUUGGGAUUACAUUCCUGCUAUACCCCACCUGGCUGAUGCCUUACACUUUUAACAGUGUUAUGAGUUGAUUGUGUCCUUCCACGUUUGUAUAUUGAAGUCUGUCUUAGGGUUUACUGCUGCGAACAGACACUAUGACCAAAGCAUUUCUUAUAAGAACAACAUUUAAUUGGGGCUGACUUACAGGUUCAGAGGUUCAGUCCAUUAUCAUCAAGGUGAGAGCAUGGCAGCAUCCAGGCAGGCACGGUGCUGGAGGAACUGAGAGUUCUACAUCUUCCUUUGAAGGCUGCUAGAAGACUGGCUUCCAGGAUAGCUAGGGUGAGGUCUUAAAGCCCAUGCCCACAGUGACACACCUACUCCAUCGAGGCCACACCUCCAAAUAGUGCCACUCUCUGGGCUAGGCAUACUCAAAGCACCACAAAGUCCUAAACUCUUCAAGUGUGAUUAGGAAUUGAGAUCAUUGCAGAUGUAACUACUUAAGAUGAGGUCAUACCAGAUGGAGUUGGUUGGGCCCCUAAUCUGUUAUGACUUGUUUCCUUACAAAACGAAGCCGUCUGAGCACAGACCACACAGAGAGAAUGUGCAGAGAGAACAGCACAUGAACGUAAAGACAGAUAUGGGGAUGUGUGUUCACGAUCUGGGCGAGGUUGACAGCAUACCUCAGAAGUAGACAGAGCCUCAAACAGAUUUACCUUCCCAGCACAGAGGCCACCUGCCUGCUGGUACUAGGAUCCUGGAUGCUAAGUUUGAUCAUAGAGACACCCAGUUUGGGGAUGGCAUUACGACAGGUCAGCCAUGCACUACACAGGAACCAGAGUCUAAGAAAGGCUUUGACUGGGAUAGGGUACUAAGAUUUUAGAAAUAUUACUUCAGGGGCUGGAGAGAUGCCUCAGCAGUUAAGAGCACUGACUGCUCUUCCAGAGAUCCUGAGUUCAAUUCCCAGCAACCAAUGGUGGUUCACAACCAUCUGUAAUGGGAUUUGAUGUCCUUUUCUGGUGUGUCUGAAGACAGCUACAGUGUACUCAUAUGCAUGAAAUAAAUAAAUCUUGAGAGAGAGAGAGAGAGAGAGAGAGAGAGAGAGUUCAAAGAGACUGAGAUGACCAGUUCUGUAUAAAAUUGCUUUAUCUCACUUUCUAACAGUGUGGUAUAUGCACAUAAUUUAGAAAAUGCGAGAGACUAAUUACAUAACAACAUGAAAAUUAGAAUUGUUCUUGGCUUCUCAACUCUGUAGUCCUCCCAACCCCCAACCACACCCCAUAUGUGCUAUUAUUUUUCUAAAUAACAUGCUGAUAUCACCGUUUCUGUACUUUUUGUUUUGUUUCGUUUUGUUUUUCUGCAAUGCUGGAAGUUAAACCUCAGGCCUGUAGUGACUGUCAGGUGCUCAAUUGCUGAACUAAACCCAUACCUUUUUUUCCCUUCCACUUUUGAUUUUAGACAAGGUCUCACUAAGUUGCCUAGGUAGGAACUGAAUUUCCAAUCCAUCAAUCCUUCUGCCUCAGCCUCCAGAAUGCUAUUACUAGGCCCAGGUAUUUUCUAUUUGGAACAUCAUGUGUUCCCUUCCCCAGGGUAGAAGAGGAAUUUGUCUUCUGGACAUAGACCUGGUCACCAGUGGAUGCCUUUGGUCAACACAGGCUCAGGAUGAAUUCGCCUCAGGGUUAGCAUGU